GUCGUUCUGCCCCUGAACAGGCAGUUAACCCACUGUUCCUAGGCCGUCAUUGAAAAUAGGAAUUUGUUCUUAACUGACUUGCCUAGUUAAAUAAAGGUACAAAUAAAAAUUGAUUGGAGGAGAAAUAGGGACUCUAUACUGCCACUUGGAGGGUGAUUAGUGAAGUGUGCAGAGCAUUUAAAUCUCCAUAUUUCAAGGUGAACAUGCUGGCCAGUCAACCUAUUACAGAAAGCCUUUGGUUUGUGGAGCACAAGUUUAAGGUCUGGAUUCAAUCAGAUCGUUGGAGUCAUCAAAUGGGUGCCAAGCUGCUCUUGCGAUCAUUAACCCUUCCUUAACGUUAUUGAGUGAAUUAAGAAGGAAUGGCGAUGUCAUUUGUAGCGAAAUGUGGUUUUCCAUUAAAAUAAUAAUUACUGUGUUCUAAACACGACGUAAUAAAGGAACUUGUGUCGCAAGAUAAAAAGAUAAGUCAGACGGUAGAGUUUGAGUGAUGAAGUUGGACAGAGAAUAUCAACAUCUCUCCGCGAGAAACACUUGGAUGAACAGUAAAAACACAUAUAUUCUGUCAAUUGAGCCUUAUUCUCUGCCAGAUGUCAUACAAACUGUUAUAUGUGGAUAAUAGCUAUAGCUAGGCCUGUCUGUAUGAUUGACUUGUCAUUUCAAUAGGCCUAGGCUACUAAAUACAAUCUGGGUUUAUGAUUGUAAUUCAACUUUGCCAUGGUUUGCUUAGCUAGAUGCAGGUAGCCUAUAACUCCUGAUAGGCCUGUUAGAUAGGCUACAGUAGGCUAGGCAAGAUGUAAAAUGAACAAUUUACUACAGUAGCUUGCUUAAUUCAAAUUGACAGACUCAUUUAUUGAAUCUGAAUAGCGAGGAUAUUUCUGUAAAAAGUGUUUGUGUUGCCCAAAAGCCUGGAUUUGACAGCUCUAACACAGUUCUACCUUCGAACACCUCAAAAUAAUCGCUAUGCAGAUCUGAUUGAAUCCAGCUCUAAAGUCUUUGAUAGGCUGAUUAGGAAUUUGUUCCAGGAAAUAAUCUGCCACCUUGUAAGGUUAGCAAAGGGCUAAUGUGUGCCAGGUUAUCUGAUGGGACCAGCUACAAUUUAGCAUUCUGUCACAUGACACUACAUCAACCAUUUUAAUUGGCUGAUGCUUAAACUUAACCUUGAACUUAAACUUUUUCUAAUGUUUGCCAGUAUGGGCCCAUGGUGUUUGUUAUGCAACGUUUUGGAUCCUUCAGAUAGAAAUAGCUUUUGUAGACCAAAUAUGCCUUUGACGUGUAGAAUAAGGAAUAACAUCAACUCUGUUCAUGGCAUUUCUAUCUGCAACUGAACGGGCCCUGCAGUAACUACAAACUGUAGAGUUAACUAACCUCUGGUUGUGGCCCUGCAGUAACUACAAACUGUAGAGUUAACUAACCUCUGGUUGUGGCCCUGCAGUAACUACAAACUGUAGAGUUAACUAACCUCUGGUUGUGGCCCUGCAGUAACUACAAACUGUAGAGUUAACUAACCUCUGGUUGUGGCCCUGCAGUAACUACAAACUGUAGAGUUAACUAACCUCUGGUUGUGGCCCUGCAGUAACUACAAACUGUAGAGUUAACUAACCUCUGGUUGUGGCCCUGCAGUAACUACAAACUGUAGAGUUAACUAACCUCUGGUUGUGGCCCUGCAGUAACUACAAACUGUAGAGUUAACUAACCUCUGGUUGUGGCCCUGCAGUAACUACAAACUGUAGAGUUAACUAACCUCUGGUUGUGGCCCUGCAGUAACUACAAACUGUAGAGUUAACUAACCUCUGGUUGUGGCCCUGCAGUAACUACAAACUGUAGAGUUAGCUACAGGGGGUUGCUAUGGUGAUUUGCUAUGGUGAGGGUUAGUGUUGGUCUCUUUACUGAUGAUGAUGAUGAUGAUGGUGUUUAACCAGGGUUUGUAGUGAUGAGGAUGUUUAACCAGGGUUUGUAGUGAUGAGGAUGUUAAAGGUGCUCUAAGAAAAUUAUAAUUUAAGAUGGCUUCAACAUUAAAUAGCUGAGUACAUGUUGCAUAGAACACCUUGAAACAUAAUGUCUAAUGAGGUCUGAAUACCUUGAAACAUAAUGUCUACUGAGGUCUGAAUACCUUGAAACAUAAUGUCUAAUGAGGUCUGAUCACCUUGAAACAUAAUGUCUACUGAGGUCUGAUCACCUUGAAACAUAAUGUCUACUGAGGUCUGACCACCUUGAAACAUAAUGUCUAAUGAGGUCUGAUCACCUUGAAACAUAAUGUCUAAUGAGGUCUGAUGACCUUGAAACAUAAUGUCUACUGAGGUCUGAUCACCUUGAAACAUAAUGUCUACUGAGGUCUGAACACCUUGAAACAUAAUGUCUAAUAAGGUCUUAAGGAUGUCUAUGAUCAAUAGAAAAUUAAAUAACCUCUCAACUGA